UUUGAACGCACAUUGCGCCCCCUGGUAUUCCGGGGGGCAUGCCUGUCCGAGCGUCAUUGCUGCCCUCAAGCCCGGCUUGUGUGUUGGGCCCUCGUCCCCCGGCUCCCGGGGGACGGGCCCGAAAGGCAGCGGCGGCACCGCGUCCGGUCCUCGAGCGUAUGGGGCUUCGUCUUCCGCUCCGUAGGCCCGGCCGGCGCCCGCCGACGCAUUUAUUUGCAACUUGUUUUUUUCCAGGUUGACCUCGGAUCAGGUAGGGAUACCCGCUGAACUUAAGCAUAUCAAAAGCCGGAGGAAUUACCGAAGUGCGGGUCUUUAUGGCCCAACCUCCCACCCGUGACUAUUGUACCUUGUUGCUUCGGCGGGCGCGCCAGCGUUGCUGGCCGCCGGGGGGCGACUCGCCCCGGGCCGUGCCGCCGGAGACCC
rnacentral:rRNA from 1 species